CCUGCUCUGCCUCUGGAGGUCAAACAGUAACUGAGCGAGGAUGCCAGAAUUGUGUAAUGAAGCAAUUUAAUCAGUCUUGUAUUCAUUCAUGUAAACAGCUGCUGACAGACCAUCAUGAUGGGAUAUUUGGGAGACCAUUAAGCUCCUCUGAUGCUUGCCUGGCCUGCUGUGCUCCUCCAGCUUCACACAGUGUUACCUCCGACCCCAGCAUCAGCAGUUCUUACUACCUCUGCUGACAGACCAUCAUGAUGGGAUAUUUGGGAGACCAUUAAGCUCCUCUGAUGCUUGCCUGGCCUGCUGUGCUCCUCCAGCUUCACACAGUGUUACCUCCGACCCCAGCAUCAGCAGUUCUUACUACCUAACCCUGAGCAGCCUCUGGAGCCAGAAGUCAAUGCUAUGACCCACGUUGGCACGCCAGGAGUAGAACACUAUGCACAGAACACUGGCAUGGCUGUAUACACUGGAGGGAAUGUUUCCUGCGAGAUAUACCGGAAGGCAAAGUACUGGGCUAAUGUUGAUCUCAGUGAAGUUGGAUUCUUCUUCUUAGGCAGACCCUCAAGAUCAAACGUGAUUUCCUUCCACUCCUGGGCUGUGGACACUGUCGUGAUGCAACGGAUGAUACUGGGCCCACCAAUCCUGCUCCGUCUGCAACGCCAAGAUGGUUGGCCACAACUUCACCUUCAUAGCAUUUAACUUGCGUGCUGCAGAGAAGGCUCCGGAGGAUGAAAAACAACCACAUUUCACUCUCCUGAAAAACUGAACAACUGCUAAAGAGACAUUUCAUGCCUACACAGUAAGGAUGAAAGCAAGAAUCUACCUGAGCUGAUGACAGCUAGUAUGAUAGUACACAUUAACAAUUAACUUCAAAUUAUGUAACAAAAUGCAUCUAACUCCCAUGAAAAAAAACCUUAGCCAGGGCACAGUUAGAGAGCAAACAAAUGUUUAAGAUUGACAAAUGCAAAUACCUGGGAAACGAGAGGUCAAACAUCACAGACUUAUCAACAUCAAAAUUUAAUAACAGGUGAAUUGUGGAACCUUUUCAAACAGAUGUGCAAACAUUGCACGAUUAAAUGCUCUAUUACAGUUGCCAACCUUUGGUUUUCAUUAUUGUUACCCAAGCUGAAGACUAGCAACCUCCUGGAUAUACAAAUUA